GUCUACAGCCAUAUCACCCUGAAGGCAUCUGAUCUCAUCAGAUCUAUGCUGGGUCAGGCCUAGUUAGUACUUGCAUGGAAGUCUGCUUGGGAAUACCAUGUGAUAAAAAAA
ensembl:rRNA 5S_rRNA 5S ribosomal RNA